UUGGGCUCAGUUGGACCAGUUGGUUUAGGGUUUAGAAUGGGUUUUUUUCCAGUUUGGUCCAGGAAAUUUGGGCUAAAAACAUAAACAAACCGGUUCUAAUGGCUUUUUCCCGGUUCCUAGUGAUUCACUCUAGAACUGAUCCAAGCCCUCUAUCCGGACUGGUAUACCAACCAUUACCGGUUCGACUGGCCAGUCCUGUUUAAAAUACAUUGGUUUUUCCCCAUUAAAAUUCCAAUAUAUCCCCCCUCCCUCCUUUUUUUUUUUUUGACUCUUCGGCAUUAUCUCUAUUCUCUUCCUUGUUCUCCUCUAUUCGAAAGACCUUCCCUAAGGAAUCACCAAAUCCAAACAACAAAUUGCUCCUAGGGGUAUUUGGGGUUACAGAUUUUGACUCCAUCUUCGCUUCUACUUUUUAAUGAAAUAGCUCUCAUGCAUAUGGUUUGCUCAAUGCUUAAACACAAAUCUUUUGAACUCAAAGUAAUGAUCCAGAAUUCUAACUGAUGAUUAACUCCGGCCUGCGACUAUAUCAUAUUUGUGAAUAGCAUGCAACAAGAGAUAGACACCCGGAAAUAUUCUUUGAGUUCCAUCAAGAACUAGUGCAAAGAGCUCAGGACUUUACAUUAUCGGUGUAACACCAUUCUCAGACUCACGACUGUUUCCUCACACAUGCACAAGAAAAGACGAAUUUGAACUGCAGUGACUUCAGUUCAAAUACCUUUGUUUUUAUGGAUAUUGGCAGGAACAUGAUCAUUUGAAGCAGCUGUUCUGUCCAACAAUACCUGAAGCAACAGGUAAAUGGAGUAGUUUAGUAUUCAACAGAAGACAUAUACGGGAUGGAAUAUAUUUUAGAACUGUUGGACAAUGCUCGUGGUUCAUUCCAGUCCUUUAAAACCUAAAUUAUCUUUGUGAGUGGGCCAACAGAUGAUCGAGUUACCCACCACAUAUUAUCACCAAUCUCCAAACCACAAGAGAUGAAGGCAAACUAACCACAUAAGAAAUUUGCAAAGACAUAAAUAAAGAAUUGAUUUUCUUCAAUUCAAAUACUUAAAGCCUUUGAGCACAAAGCAUUCAUAUAGAGCAUCAUAGAAACCAAUAAACAAUAGAUUAAAUUUCCAGGAGAAAAUUAAAAAACGGGAUAAUUGUACCAAACAUUCCAAGACUAUUUCCUAGAAUCCAUAA
rnacentral:lncRNA from 1 species